rnacentral:lncRNA from 1 species
AUUGUGGUUUUUAAAGUAGUAUAUUGAAAGGAUAAUGUUGAUUUAGAAUUUGGAAGUUGAGAGGCCUCACAUGUGAACUGGUAGAGUUUUGCUGAGCUUUGAGGCCCCACAUUUUAAGGACAUUUAUGCUACAUACAUGCUAAACCUACAUGCUCUCAUUUUACCAAAAUUCGUGUACUACCAUUUUCUAUAAUUACAGUAAUGCUAGUGUCAAGUUCGCUUUUGAAAUUUCAUUAGCAACUUGCCAUGUACUGUAUUUCAUACAUGCUGAUAUAUAUUUUCUGCACCUACAAUAUUGCAGAGUUCUGGUGGCAGGCCUGGGUUUGGACGUGGUGGCGGCAGUGGCUUUGGUGCUGGCCCGACCUCUUCUUCCAUGGAGUGAAGUUGCCCUUAGUUUGGACAUGAUGUUUCUGUUCGCGUGAUGCGUUUAAAUUUUGAAGGACAGCUAUUAUGUACUAGUAAUGUUAUCCGGAUCGGCCAGUGCUGACAAUAUGCAAAAAGAAUUGGUCCAUCGUAAUACAUUGGUUCCAGUAUAAUAGUCUUUGCAAAACGUUUGUGUUUUCAAGUCAGUACCUUUUUCGCUAAGUAAUUGUCCAGUUGACUGGUCUGAUGUGUGAUGCAGGGAUGUUUUGCUUUUUCUUCUAGCUGUUGCUGUUUGUGUUCUCCCUCUGUCCCUGAAUGAAUUGUUCUCUUGGCUGGGGCCAAUAGAGCUAAAACAGCG